UUGAAAAGCGGUCCCGCAUUUUAAUUUCCACCGCAGCCCGCUGCAUUUUAACUUUGUGUGUGUUUUAUAUAUACAACACAGUGGAUCCCAAAAGCUCGUGUAUGGUAAGUGUAGACUAUUCCGGUCUAAUUUUUCCUGCCAACAUGUCACUCAGGUAAAACAUUAUUAAAUUGGUAGGGCUCUCCAUUAAGAUCACAUGACAUAAUAAUCCGAGCGAAGAGAGAUGGAGUAAAAUUGAAGUAUAUGUAUUACAUUAUAACA